GUGGUUUAUUUGAUCUCAGUUUUUCAUUGGUUGAAAAUUCGUUUAUGACGUAAAAUUUUCUUGCUUUCCUCUGAAAAUUCUUUAUAUGACAAAAAUAGGUGAUCAUGUUUGAUCAUGUCAUGGCAAACAGAAUGAACACAUUUUUUUUGCAGGUUGUUCGAAAAGAAGGAUUAAGAUGGUCUGCAUAUCAUCAAAAAUUUAUUAGAGAAACAGAUUUCACCACCAAAUCUCGUGCCAUACAAUAUUUAUAUACUUUAGAC
rnacentral:lncRNA from 1 species